AUGCAGCUCUGUGCUGCAAGGUCUGCAGAGACCUAGCCACCUUCCUCAUCUCUAUAAGGUCAUCCUUUGGUUUCCUUGGCCCAAAAUGACUCCCCAGUCUUCAUACCCAUGUUCUAAGUGGCAAGAAGAAGGAAAGAAUGACUCUUCCGCUAACACCCUUUGACUAAAACUUACUCACAUAACUGCACCCAUCCAAAGAAGAGGCUAGAAAAUGAAGGUUUUAUUCUGGCCAACUAUGAACCGACUAAAUAUGCUAUUCCUUUAGGUGGAGGUGAGAAUGGGCUUUGGAGAAACAGCCAUUGGCUGGGGCACAUGUCUGCCAUUUAAUCCUGGUUACAGGGUAAGUGUGCAACAAUCAUUCACCUUCAUCCUCCAUCUACACACACUUCACUCAUUUAAAGACCAGCAUGGAUUCCCAGAACAAGUUCUCUCAGCGCUGAGGUUCCUGGGUUUCACUGUUCUGGGUCACAGUCCCUGUGCUUGUGGGUCAAGGGGCACUCAAGGAAGCAUCCCGCCCAAGCGCCUCACCUAGUGCUUUUAAAUUAUUUGAAGAUCAACAAAAUUAUGUUAUUGCUAUAAUAUGGGACAUGCACUCUUUGGAAUGAUAUUUUGGAAUGAAAAUAUCUGUGGUUUUCAUGGUUUAAAACAGAGUCUCAUCUUCCAGUGGAAAAGGGAGUUCAACAUGCAGGUUAAAGAACACCUGAUAGAAAUGUUGUAUCAGAAUAAAUUAUGUUGUAGAAUUAUAUGAAAAACCGCACGAAAGAUAGAGUGUUUGAAGACGCAGAUGUCAACACAGGGCUUGCCCCUUGAGUUACUUUGAAACAACUGAGACACUAAGUUCAUAUGUCACCAGAAUGGGGUGUGCUUGUAUGUUGUGAAUCAGAAACUUCAGAGCAAAUAUGAAACUUGAGAGCCAGGUGAGAGUAUUUCCAAGUCCAUUUUAUACAGCAAAGCCAGGAGAAGAGUAAAUGGGAAAAGCAUAGGGCACGCAAUUUAAGGAGACAUCUCUCUCAGGGUUGAGGAAAAUAAUUGCAAAAAACAGGAAAAUUUAGUUAAUACUAUGGAAACAUGGCUAACAUGAGUCAGG
rnacentral:lncRNA from 1 species